CGAUAAGCGCCGGUAAGGUGAUAUGAACCGUUAUAACCGGCGAUACCCGAAUGGGGAAACCCAGUGUGAUUCGUCACACUAUCAUUAACUGAAUCCAUAGGUUAAUGAGGCGAACCGGGGGAACUGAAACAUCUAAGUACCCCGAGGAAAAGAAAUCAACCGAGAUUCCCCCAGUAGCGGCGAGCGAACGGGGAGGAGCCCAGAGCCUGAAUCAGCAUGUGUGUUAGUGGAAGCGUCUGGAAAGGCGCGCGAUACAGGGUGACAGCCCCGUACACAAAAGCGCAUGUGCUGUGAGCUCGAUGAGUAGGGCGGGACACGUGGUAUCCUGUCUGAAUAUGGGGGGACCAUCCUCCAAGGCUAAAUACUCCUGACUGACCGAUAGUGAACCAGUACCGUGAGGGAAAGGCGAAAAGAACCCCGGCGAGGGGAGUGAAAAAGAACCUGAAACCGUGUACGUACAAGCAGUGGGAGCACAGGUUUACCUGUGUGACUGCGUACCUUUUGUAUAAUGGGUCAGCGACUUAUAUUCUGUAGCAAGGUUAACCGAAUAGGGGAGCCGGAGGGAAACCGAGUCUUAAUUGGGCGUUAAGUUGCAGGGUAUAGACCCGAAACCCGGUGAUCUAGCCAUGGGCAGGUUGAAGGUUGGGUAACACUAACUGGAGGACCGAACCGACUAAUGUUGAAAAAUUAGCGGAUGACCUGUGGCUGGGGGUGAAAGGCCAAUCAAACCGGGAGAUAGCUGGUUCUCCCCGAAAGCU
rnacentral:rRNA from 1 species